AACGACUCUCGGCAACGGAUAUCUCGGCUCUCGCAUCGAUGAAGAACGCAGCGAAAUGCGAUACUUGGUGUGAAUUGCAGGAUCCCGCGAACCAUCGAGUCUUUGAACGCAAGUUGCGCCCGGAGCCUUUCGGCCGAGGGCACGUCUGCCUGGGUGUCACUC
rnacentral:rRNA from 1 species